rnacentral:rRNA from 1 species
GACGAACGUUGGCGGCGUGCUUAAUACAUGCAAGUCAACUGAAGCAGUGGUAGCAAUCUCGCUGUGGAGGUGGCGCCCGGGUGAGUAACACGUAGGUAAUCUGCCUUCAGGUCUGGCAUAACUCCGGGAAACCGGGGCUAAUAGCAGAUGAUGCAGCGGCUCGACAUCGAGACAGUUGUUAAAGCUAUGGCGCCUGAAGAUGAGCCUGCGUCUGAUUAGCUAGUUGGCGGGGUAACGGCCCACCAAGGCAACGAUCAGUAGCUGGUCUGAGAGGAUGAUCAGACACACUGGAACUGAGACACGGGCCAGACUCCUACGGGAGGCAGAAGGAAGGAAGAUUGCUCAAUGGGAGAAAUCCUGAAGCAGCAACGCCGCGGGAGGGACGAAGGGCUUUUGCUUGUAAACCUCUGUAGUGAGAGAAAAAAAUCCCAAUCUUUGGGACAUGAUGGUAUCUCAAAAGUAAGCCCCGGCUAACUACGUG